rnacentral:rRNA from 1 species
GAUGAACGCUGACAGAAUGCUUAACACAUGCAAGUCAACUUGAACUUCGGUUUGGGUGGCGGACGGGUGAGUAACGCGUAAAGAACUUGCCUCACAGAUAGGGACAACAUUUGUAAACGAAUGCUAAUACCUGAUAUUAUGAUUUUAGGGCAUCCUAGGAUUAUGAAAGCUAUAUGCGCUGUGAGAGAGCUUUUCGUCCCAUUAGCUAGUUGGAGAGGUAACGGCUCACCAAGGCGAUGAUGGGUAGCCGGCCUGAGAGGGUGAUCGGCCACAAGGGGACUGAGACACGGCCCUUACUCCUACGGGAGGCAGCAGUGGGGAAUAUUGGACAAUGGACCAAGAGUCUGAUCCAGCAAUUCUGUGUGCACGAUGAAGUUUUUCGGAAUGUAAAGUGGUUUCAGUUGGGAAGAAAAAAAUGACGGUACCAACAGAAGAAGUGACGGCUAAAUACGUG